UACGUAGGGUGCGAGCGUUGUCCGGAAUUAUUGGGCGUAAAGAGCUCGUAGGCGGUCUGUCGCGUCGGUCGUGAAAACUUGGGGCUUAACCCUGAGCUUGCGGUCGAUACGGGCAUGACUGGAGUUCGGCAGGGGAGACUGGAAUUCCUGGUGUAGCGGUGAAAUGCGCAGAUAUCAGGAGGAACACCGGUGGCGAAGGCGGGUCUCUGGGCCGAUACUGACGCUGAGGAGCGAAAGCUAGGGGAGCAAACGGG
rnacentral:rRNA from 1 species